UACGUAGGGUGCGAGCGUUAAUCGGAAUUACUGGGCGUAAAGCGUGCGCAGGCGGUUCGUCAAGUCUUGUGUGAAAGCCCCGGGCUCAACCUGGGAACUGCGUUUGAAACUGCAAGGCUAGAGUAUGGGAGAGGGGGGUAGAAUUCCACGUGUAGCAGUGAAAUGCGUAGAGAUGUGGAGGAAUACCAAUGGCGAAGGCAGCCCCCUGGCCUAAUACUGACGCUCAUGCUCGAAAGCGUGGGGAGCAAACAGG
rnacentral:rRNA from 1 species